rnacentral:tRNA from 1 species
UCCCUGGUAGCUCAGUGGUAAAGAAUUUGCCUACCAAAGCAGGAGACACAGGUUCGAUCCCUGAUCCGGGAA